rnacentral:lncRNA from 10 species
UGAAGCAAAGUUUUCAACAGUAUGCAUGUGUGUUAAAGGAAUGCCCCAGCCCAGAGCCAUCCACAAAAACUGGAAGAAUCCGUCAGUUUGUCUUUGUCUCAGUUUUGUCAUAUAGACCUUUGUGACACACAGAUCUAUAUACAAUGAAAACUACAAAUUUCUAAUGAAAGAGCCAUGAAAGAUCACAGAAGAUCUUAAUAAAUAGAAAGACAUUUAAUGUGCAUGAACAUAAAAUCUCAAUAUUGUCAAGAUAUAAUUUCUCCCCAAUUUGAGUUAUAGGCAAGAGAGUCACAUCAUCUGGGUGAUUGGCCAAACAUAUGUCACAAUCCCUUCCAUUGACAGCUCCCAAAAAAGGAGUUACAUCACCUAGGUGCUCAGCUCUGAGAUGUGUCACAACAUUGCCCAAUACAGGCAGGGCACAGGCGGGAGAGUCACAUUUCCUGGGUGCUUGGCCCAGUGGUAUGUCACAUUUCCUUAUGUAGGAAGGGCACACGUAGCAAAAGAGAGUCACAUUACCUAGGUACUGUGCUAGAGCUAUCAGUCUCUGUGUCAUUCAAUGUGAGAGUUAUGAUCUCUUUAGACAUCCAUGUAACAGAGCCUCAACUCCUUCAUCCUCAGAUGUAAAGGCUAGUGAAGACCAAAUAAGCCUUGAAAGGUAAUUCCCCUAAAAAGGCAGAAUGUCUUAGGCUUUGGCCUCUCCCCUUCAAGCACAAUGAGAUCAUAACCUCUCUUUUGACUUCUCACUAUGCCCAGCAGUGGAACAAAGCUCCUGACUCCACACCCUCACCUUUCCACCCUUGUACCUUCACUGGGCAGACAAGAGACGAGAAGACCUGAACUCUGGGACAGUCUGGGGAGAAAAGAAUCCAAAAAGGGUUGAGGCGGCAAGGGCUGAGCUCCCAUGGGUGCCCCGGCCCAAAGGUGCAGGUCCAGGCUGUUUUCCAGGUGGCAUUCAGUGCAGGUUCUUCAAUGCCACUAGAAGGCAUGAAAAACCCACUGUAGCUGCUGCUUCUUCCUUUUCUUAAGCUCUGAAAAUGCAAACACUUUUUCAAGGUUUUCAGAUAUGCCCAGGUACCCCCAACUGAAAAGGAGGAUAAUGGCAUUGUUCAUCAUGGCUUAUUGUCUUGCCCAGGCAGGAGCCAGCCUCUGACUUGCCAAUCCAGCUGCCCCAGGCUGGAGGUGAUCUUGUCGAGCCUCCUCCCUGCAACUCCACUCCUCUUUUUUCUCUUCCUCAACCACCGGCAUACUUUUGGUCAUCCUUCUUGUUGUCACAAUGGGGGCGUGAUACCAUAAAGACCUGGGAACUCCAAUGAUCUCAGGUCCCGCAGGGGUCAGGUGAGCAUAUAGGAAGUCCAGAAGGACAGUCAUCUGCCACCUCCAGUUAAAAAAGAACAAAACCCUCACACUCCAGGAAUGAGUCAAGAACCCAGUGAAGGCCACAGGUCUAGCCCACAACCACCUAGGUAUGUGGGGUCCUCCAAGGCUCACGCUUGUGUCCUGCAGGCUGGAGCCCAUGCGAGGGUCUGCAGUCUUUGUUCCGGAUGGGGAACUACUGCUUCAGCUGGUUACCCAGGUGCCCCGAUGGGGAAAGGAAGGAAAUGGUGAGAAUCUUCAGCACAGCGGAUCACAUCACCCUGGAAGAGACCAGUCCUGCCUGCGCAUAGCACAAGCAGCCGCAGGCUAGAGGCAGUCAUGUCAGGCCUCCUCCAUACAGCAUCUCUCCUGCUUUUUUUUCAAACGGCCCUAAUCACUUAAUUUGGUCAUCUUCCCUGUCACAAUGGGGCACCUGGCGCUAUAGACACUUGGGAAACACACAGAUCUGGGAUCCUACAUUGUCCAGGUGAAGACGCCGGGAGUCAGAGAGGAAAGUCUUUUGAAGCCUCCAAAAGGAAUGCACAGGACCCUACUUGAAGAGGUGGCGUGCCCAGUGGCGGAUACAGGCCCCACACAUCGCAGCAGUAAACAGGGACUCCACGGUGUCCAGCUCUCCAGCCUGGGGUUUCUCAUCACCCAGUGAUUCCAAAAGAAACGAUCUACAAUGGCAUGACUAAGUUCCAGAAACAAAUAAACAAAAUACUGAGGGAAGCCCAUUGGUCACUUUGAUUCUUCAAAGGUGACAAUUGUCCCUCCCUGAAAUCUUAUGAGUGCAUGAACAGACUAUUCUAAUGUAAAUGAAAUUCACACUAAAACUGAUUGAAAGAUGAUUCUGUUUCCAAGGUACUUUGUAUUCUCAAAUUGCAUCUGCUUACCCUGGCCCCCUCAAAAUGGAAGAGUGAUGACUAUUUGUCUUCGUAACACUGUGGGGACACAGAGCCUUAAAUGGAAGAGUGUCAAAAGCAACAUUCCAUAAAGGGCUGUCACUUCCAAUUUUCAAGCGAGGUUGGAAACCAACCAUGAUGUAUGAAACACUGUUGGCCAAAGUGCACAAUUAGUAAUACAAAAUGAAUAAUAUAAACUAUUGUAAAUAUGUGUAGACAUCGUGGCAAUUUGGACAUCAAAAACACUGCCAAAUUCAGAAAGAGGAAGCUGUAAACUCAUGGCUGUUAGGAAGCUUAACUUCUGUGUACUAGAACCUAUCAAAAUUAAAUUUCUCCAUGUCAAUCCGUCCAAACAAACAUUGAGAUGUUUAUUUCUAUAUAAUUCCUAUUGAAUCCUACUGGGUAGGACCCUUCUGGCCCCAUCCUCACAGCACUGGUGCAGUGAAACUGCACUUGCUCCUGCUUCCCCCUAUAUUGUUAGGAG